rnacentral:rRNA from 1 species
GGAAUAUUGGACAAUGGGCGAAAGCCUGAUCCAGCAAUGCCGCGUGUGUGAAGAAGGCCUGCGGGUUGUAAAGCACUUUCAGUUGAGAUGAAAGACUUGGGGUUAAUACCCUCGGGUUUUGACGUAACCAACAGAAGAAGCACCGGCUAACUCCGUGCCAGCAGCCGCGGUAAUACGGAGGGUGCGAGCGUUAAUCGGAAUUACUGGGCGUAAAGCGCGCGUAGGUGGUUUGAUAAGUCGGAUGUGAAAGCCCCGGGCUUAACCUGGGAAUUGCAUUCGAUACUGUCUGACUAGAGUGUGGUAGAGGGUAGUGGAAUUCCCGGUGUAGCGGUGAAAUGCGUAGAUAUCGGGAGGAACAUCAGUGGCGAAGGCGGCUACCUGGACCAACACUGACACUGAGGUGCGAAAGCGUGGGGAGCA